rnacentral:piRNA from 1 species
UGAGGUCCAUUUGGCUUUGUAUCUCU